AGUAGCAAUACUGUGGGUGGCGAGUGGCGGACGGGUGAGGAAUACAUCGGAAUCUGCCCAGUCGUGGGGGAUAACAUAGGGAAACUUAUGCUAAUACCGCAUACGACCUACGGGUGAAAGCGGGGGAUCGCAAGACCUCGCGCGAUUGGAUGAGCCGAUGUCCGAUUAGCUAGUUGGCGGGGUAAUGGCCCACCAAGGCGACGAUCGGUAGCUGGUCUGAGAGGAUGAUCAGCCACACUGGAACUGAGACACGGUCCAGACUCCUACGGGAGGCAGCAGUGGGGAAUAUUGGACAAUGGGCGCAAGCCUGAUCCAGCCAUGCCGCGUGGGUGAAGAAGGCCUUCGGGUUGUAAAGCCCUUUUGUCCGGAAAGAAAAGCACUGGAUUAAUACUUCGGUGUUCUGACGGCACCGGAAGAAUAAGCACCGGCUAACUUCGUGCCAGCAGCCGCGGUAAUACGAAGGGUGCAAGCGUUACUCGGAAUUACUGGGCGUAAAGCGUGCGUAGGUGGUUCGUUAAGUCUGAUGUGAAAGCCCUGGGCUCAACCUGGGAAUUGCAUUGGAUACUGGCGGGCUAGAGUGCGGUAGAGGAUGGCGGAAUUCCCGGUGUAGCAGUGAAAUGCGUAGAGAUCGGGAGGAACAUCUGUGGCGAAGGCGGCCAUCUGGACCAGCACUGACACUGAGGCACGAAAGCGUGGGGAGCAAACAGGAUUAGAUACCCUGGUAGUCCACGCCCUAAACGAUGCGAACUGGAUGUUGGGUGCAACUAGGCACUCAGUAUCGAAGCUAACGCGUUAAGUUCGCCGCCUGGGGAGUACGGUCGCAAGACUGAAA
rnacentral:rRNA from 1 species